GAUGAACGCUAGCGGCAGGCCUAAUACAUGCAAGUCGAACGGGAUCCAGAUCAAAGCUUGCUUUGGUCUGGUGCGAGUGGCGCACGGGUGCGUAACGCGUGCGCAACCUACCCUUGUCAGGGGGUUAGCCCGGCGAAAGUCGGAUUAAUACCGCAUGACAUCAUUGCGGUGCGUCUUUCAAUGAUCAAGGAUUUAUGGGACAAGGAGGGGCUCUCGUGACAUUAGCUAGGUGGUAAGGGAACGGCUUACCAAGGCUGUGAUGUCCAGGGGCGCGGAGAGGAGCAUCCCCCAGAAUGGUACCGAGACACGGACCACACUGCUACGGGACGCAGCAGUAAGGAAGACAGGGCAAUGGAGGGUAGUCCAAACCAGCCAUGCCGGGUGCAGGAAGACGGCGCUAUGGGUGGUAAACUGCUGGUAUACAAGAACAACCGUCGGUACGUGUGCCGGUCUGAGUGUACCGUAAGAAUAAGGAUCGGCUAACUCCGUG
rnacentral:rRNA from 1 species